AGCGAACGCUGGCGGCAGGCCUAACACAUGCAAGUCGAACGAAGUCUUCGGACUUAGUGGCGGACGGGUGAGUAACACGUGGGAACGUGCCUUUAGGUUCGGAAUAACUCAGGGAAACUUGUGCUAAUACCGAACGUGCCCUUCGGGGGAAAGAUUUAUCGCCUUUAGAGCGGCCCGCGUCUGAUUAGCUAGUUGGUGAGGUAAAGGCUCACCAAGGCGACGAUCAGUAGCUGGUCUGAGAGGAUGAUCAGCCACAUUGGGACUGAGACACGGCCCAAACUCCUACGGGAGGCAGCAGUGGGGAAUCUUGCGCAAUGGGCGAAAGCCUGACGCAGCCAUGCCGCGUGAAUGAUGAAGGUCUUAGGAUUGUAAAACUCUUUCACCGGGGACGAUAAUGACGGUACCCGGAGAAGAAGCCCCGGCUAACUUCGUGCCAGCCGCCGCAGUAAAAC
rnacentral:rRNA from 1 species